rnacentral:rRNA from 1 species
GACGAACGCUGGCGGCGUGCUUAACACAUGCAAGUCGAACGGAAAGGCCCCUUCGGGGGUACUCGAGUGGCGCACGGGUGCGUAACACGUGAGUAACCUGCCCUUGACUUCGGGAUAACUUCAGGAAACUGGGGCUAAUACCGGAUAGGAAUCCUUGCUGCAUGGUGGGGGUUGGAAAGCUUCGGCGGUUUUGGAUGGACUCGCGGCUUAUCAGCUUGUUGGUGGGGUAGUGGCUUACCAAGGCUUUGACGGGUAGCCGGCCUGAGAGGGCGACCGGCCACAUUGGGACUGAGAUACGGCCCAGACUCCUACGGGAGGCAGCAGUGGGGAAUAUUGCACAAUGGGCGGAAGCCUGAUGCAGCAACGCCGCGUGCGGGAUGACGGCCUUCGGGUUGUAAACCGCGUUCAGCAGGGGCGAAGCUUGUGGUGACGGUACCUGCAGAAGAAGCACCGGCUAACUACGUG